ACGACUCUCGGCAACGGAUAUCUCGGCUCUCGCAUCGAUGAAGAACGUAGCGAAAUGCGAUACUUGGUGUGAAUUGCAGAAUCCCGUGAACCAUCGAGUCUUUGAACGCAAGUUGCGCCCGAGGCCUACUGGCCGAGGGCACGUCCGCCUGGGUGUCACGC
rnacentral:rRNA from 4 species